GACUGGUUGUUGGGUCCAGGUGGAGCUACUGGUCAUCAGAAAUGCAAACACCUGAAAAGACAUCUCGAAAGGCCAAUCUUCGGUUCUACAGUAGUCAAGUAACUGUCAGGGGUAACUGGGGAAAUUGCAAAUCUUGUGACCUCUGGAAAAAUGGCUGGUAAUCAUUUAUGUCUACACAUUAGCAGGACUCAGGCUCUUCUCAUCCUCCUAACCUGGUGGCCUUCCAUUAGCUUUAUGAAGGCGGUUUAGUUUUGGGGAAGGACUAUUAUCAUUUAAACUAUAAAGUAUAUUCCUCUCAAAGUUACCUCGACCCAAGCCCAGGAAUGCCUAAGAGAAGCUUGGAGGUUAAGAGCAAGACUGGAGUUGGUUAAAUCUUUCACUGUCAUCAUUUUCUCCCUGUUAUAAUUUUCACAAAGGACCCAGGGUUCACUGAAAAUGGAAGAGACAAGACGGAUUGCAGAGGCUGGGCUCGGUGCCCCACCCAACCUAACAAGUGACUCCACUUUUACCUGUUUCAACUACUGGACUUCUAGAGCGGUGCAAUAUGAAGAAAGCAUCCUGUGCCAAAAUAAAGGCUGGAAUGCAAUGGCGUGAUCUCAGCUCACUGCAACCUCGACCUCCCGAGUUCAAGCAUUCUUCUGCCUCAGCCUCCCAAGUAGCUGGGAUUUCAGCUUUCCCUGCAUUUCCUCAUCCUCCUUCCUACUGCCAACUUGUGAGGGCCGCAUUCUACAGAUGCCUCCCCCACCAUCCCCUCCAAGAGUUAUUCAAACACUAACCUCAGUGCUUCUGUGAAGGAUUUUGCAGCGAUAUUAAAGUCUCACAGCAGCUGACAUCAAGAUCCAGGUGUGCCUCAUGUAGUCACAGGAGCCCCUUAAAAGCAGAGUUUUCUCCGCUUUCAGAAAAGAAAAGAAAAAAAGCACAGGUAAGACCAGAGAUGUACCGUUGCUGGCUUUGAAGAUAGAGGGGCCGCAUGCAGAGAAAUGAGGCAUGUGGAAGCUGGGUGUGGCCCCCAAGAAUCAGCCACCAAGAAAUGAGAACUUCAGUCCUACAACCACAAGACAUCGAAUUCUGUCAACAACCUGAAUGAGCUGGGAGAGAACCCCCGACCCCUGGAUGAGGCUGCAGCCACAGCCAAUAACUACAUUUCCCAGUGAGGCCUUGAGAACACCAUCUAGCAGGCCCACAGAAACUGUGAGAGAAUCAGUGGUAACGUUGCUCUUUGAUUUGUGGUCAUUUGUUAAGCAGCAACAGAAAAGGAAGACACAAUUUCUUAGAACAGAUUAUCUUCCCUUGUCACCUUUUUUAACUAGCACCAGUGGAAUUCCUUCCAAUCCGUGAUGAGAGGUGGUUUUCUAAAAUGCAAAUCUAGUGUCGUCAUUCUUUCUCCCAACAUUUCAGAGGCUUUCGUUUCUCAAAUCCUUUACUGAGCUCUCAAGGCCCUUCAGAGUUGGACUUCCACCAGCCUUUCUGGCUUCCCUCUUGUACAUCACAAAUACCUUUCUCUCCCACCCACAAAGCAGACCGCACUCUCCGAAUGGAGAUGCAGUCUCCUGUUCUUCACCCAUGUGACCCUGCCUGGACGUCCUUCCAUCCUUCUCACUAUACAGAUA